rnacentral:rRNA from 1 species
UACGUAGGUGGCAAGCGUUGUCCGGAUUUACUGGGUGUAAAGGGGCGUGUAGGCGGAGCUGCAAGUCAGAUGUGAAAUCCCGGGGCUCAACCCCGGAACUGCAUUUGAAACUGUAGCCCUUGAGUAUCGGAGAGGCAGGCGGAAUUCCUAGUGUAGCGGUGAAAUGCGUAGAUAUUAGGAGGAACACCAGUGGCGAAGGCGGCCUGCUGGACGACAACUGACGCUGAGGCGCGAAAGCGUGGGGAGCAAACAGG